rnacentral:rRNA from 1 species
CCCUUAGAUGUUCUGGGCCGCACGCGUGCUACACUGACCGGCGCAACAAGUUUCUUUCCUUGGCUCGAAAGGUCUGGGUAAUCUCCAAAUUUCGUCGUGAUGGGGAUAGAUUAUUGCAAUUAUUAAUCUUCAACGAGGAAUGCCUAGUAAGCGCAAGUCAUCAGCUUGCGUUGAUUACGUCCCUGCCCUUUGUACACACCGCCCGUCGCUCCUACCGAUUGAAUGGUCCGGUGAAGCGUUCGGACCGUGGCCUUUGGACGGUUCGCCGUCUGUUGGCUGCGGGAAGUUCGUUAAACCUUAUCAUUUAGAGGAAGGAGAANUCGUANCA